CAGUUUCCCACUUUGAUUCAACAUCAUCACAUUGACAUUUUUUAUUGAUACAACAUUGAUUCAACCAGUUCUUGCACAGUGGGUUACCUUUAGGCAACAGUGAUUCAUAGGGUUUAGUUGAAAAGUUUCAACGUCAUACUAGCCAAACAAUCGGAGGCCCUUUGAAUUACAGACCUGAAUCUUUGAGUUUAUGAUCUAAGUUUUAAGGAAUUUUAUGAUUGUUUUGUUUUGAGGAUGUGAGGCAGUUUCAGCAGGCCUACGACCUACUGGUGAACUUCAUUAAUGAGCCAGCAAACAGGGAGCGACUAGAGCAGGAGAUGGCUCUCGUAGGAAUCGACCGCAUCAACUUCGCAGAUGUUUUUUAUGAAUUCGUUCUACUAAGCCUUCUAGAAGGAAAGACAUCUCUUCCUAUAUCUGAGCCUGGUAGCUUCCUUUAUCUGCUCCUGCAAGUCAUAAUGAGGAUUGACCCUCCUGGAGGAGCCUGGACAGAGGCUGCUGAGAACU